rnacentral:tRNA from 1 species
GCCUUCGGGGUGUAGUGGUCAGCACACUCGGCGCCUAUUCCAGAGGUUCGUGGUUCGAAUCCCGGCGAGAGCA